rnacentral:tRNA from 1 species
GGGGCUAUAGCUCAGUAGUAGAGUGCAUGCUUAGCAUGCACGAGGUCUUGGGUUCAACCCCUAGUACCUCCA